rnacentral:rRNA from 1 species
UACGGAGGGUGCAAGCGUUAUUCGGAAUUACUGGGCGUAAAGCGCGUGCAGGCGGGAAAGUAAGUCUGAUGUGAAAGCCCUGGGCUUAACCCGGGAAGUGCAUUGGAUACUGCUUUUCUUGAGUCCUGGAGAGGAUGGGGGAAUUCCCGGUGUAGAGGUGAAAUUCGUAGAGAUCGGGAGGAAUAUCAGUGGCGAAGGCGCCCAUCUGGACAGUGACUGACGCUGAGACGCGAAAGCGUGGGGAGCAAACAGG